GCUGGGUGUGGUGGUGUGCACCUGUAAUCCCAGCUACUUGGGAGGCUGAGGUGGGAGGAUCACUUGAGCCUGGGAGGGCAAGGCUGCAGUGAGCUGAGAUUGCGCCACUGCACUCCAGCCUGGAUGACAGAGUGAGACCCCGUCUCAA
rnacentral:SRP_RNA from 1 species